GCUGUUUCUGGGUGAGCGCUUGCGCCUGGCGAGCCUGCUGGGUUUGCUGGUUGCAGCCAGCGGGCUGGCGCUGAUCGGCAGCGAGGACAGUG
rnacentral:tRNA from 3 species